ensembl:lncRNA
GAAUCGAUCGGGAGAUGCAGGCAAAAGAAGUUGCUGAAAGCAAGGCUGGCAUGGACGGGAGCUACGUUCCUCUGGCUCCAUAGUGCACAGGGAGCGGUCGAACUUUUUGGCUUUUGAAUAUACAUUGCUCCUCCGCGAACACCUUGGGCUGUGUUAUACGGACAGAGUCACAGCAUGUCACUGCACAUCUCGCGUCUGCUGUUAGACUAGCCAGACCAAGCCCAGGGGACCGAAAAGGGAGCAACGCUGGGGAUUUGCUGUCUCCCCAAGGAUAGUCACCUGUGAAAAAAAGCUGGAGAAGGGCAAUUUAUCUUGCUUUUCCAGAUGACUGAAAAUACCUUCAGGAUCCUGUCCCUCCAGUUUUCAUCAGCAAGUAGCAUCAGGGAGAGAUGGCUGAGGAACAGAAAUGAUAUUAGUCGAAUUUAUUCCAGCAUCUACUUUUUCUCAAGGAACUCUUUGCCCAUAGGGAUUUGCUGCAUGCAUUUCCAAGACUAAGGACUGACGUACCACAGGUGCAUGCCUAGCAGAUGAUAUAAUAAUUUGCAAGUGAGAAACCUACCCCAGCAAGACUUUCUCUGCCCAGUUUGAAGUACAUGGUUUGGUGUAAGCACGGCAGUUCUUGCCUCUCUCUCUCCCUUUUUAAAUCUCUUGUGCGAGGAGACUUCUUUCCUCAUUGCAAUUAUGAUCAUUUGCAACAUCAGUGCCAUCAAAGAUUGGAGCACUUUCCUCUCCCAGAUCCUCCCUAGCGUUAACAAGACUCUGAACUUGGUGCAGCAAGUGGAAGCGACCACCAGCUCAGUGGUAAGUGUCCUCCAGGACCCCGAGCAGGACAGCUACCUGUCCAACAGCCAAUCCAUGAACUCCAGCAACUUCACGGCUGGCCUGGACCACUUGUUUCAGUAUUCGUACUCAGACAAUGACCAGCUUUACAAGGAAUACAAACCCCCUCCUCGAGAUGCCAUUCCUCUGCCCAAGGCUGUUCUCUACCUUCUCAUGGCAGCUUUGGUGGUGGUGGCAGUGGCGUACGCAAUCGUUGGGCAUCUCAUCAAGGACCUUAUUCAUGAUUUUAUAGAUUACUGGGUAAUUAGAUCCAGCAGGCUCCAGAAAUAAUUCCCAGGGAAGCAGCGAAGAUGAGAGCGUACAAUCCUGCCCGCACUUAGCCGGGAAUUAGACUGCAGCAGUCUCACGCAAGCGUGCCCUCUGCGGCGGCCGCCCGGGCCGGACCGUCCCCUCCCGGCGAGGAAGCGUUGCAACCCUUGCAAACAGGCUGCUUUUCCCGAGGACUCGGCUCGACCUGUCCCCUUAGCUGCGCUCCCAGACCCUCCCCCAAAAUGUGCAGCCUCGGAGGUCCUUCCUUUUUUGUGACGUUGCCUUCUUUCGCUGCUCACGCAAAACGUGACACCCCCCCCCAAGGAUUUUCCCGCUCACCGCUGAGUCACCAGAUAUCACGGCUGGGCAAAGACGGGGCCUUUGCAUCCAGCCGCCUUCCCACCCUCUGCACGCGGCAACCCUCAGCCGAGGCUCCCGGAUACCUGGGGACCUGUCACCCGUCUUUCUGCAGUCUCAGCCUAUUCCCCUUU